GAAGGGAUCUGACAAGACGCCAGUUUGCUUCACGCGGAUGACAGUAUCAGCAAAUUAGCAAAAAUAUGCUACCUAAAAUAAAUGUAGCUGCGACUUGUAGUUUUUAUUCUAACGUUACCUGAAUUAGUCAAAGGUCAAGAUGGCUACAAUUUACAAUAUGUUCCAGUCAGAAACAACAUCGAUUAUGGCCUUCGUCGUCGAGACGGCAAUGACAGACAUAUAUAAAUUUUUGCCAAACUCUGACGCUAACAACGACGUUAAUCCGGGGAGAGAGCUCUGCACCAUUAUGAAUUUGUUGAUGGGGGAGGGUAUUCGUAAAGUCUGCCAACUAUUCCUUGUGGCCUCCUCUCGUUUGCAAAAUGAAAACGAGAAACUGAAGACCAAGGUGGAGCAGAUGGAUGAAUAUAUGAAGGAAAUUACUGAGAAGGCUGAACAUUAUAGAACGUCUCUGGCUAAAGUGGAGGCUGAACCGAAAGUACAGACGCCAACCCAUGUUCUGCACAACGGAAUGAUCUUUGCAAUAAAACCAGUUGAUCUCCCAUUGUUGCCUGGAAUGACAGCGGCUUCAGCAUUUCCAGGGAAUGUCAGUCAAGCAAACACAGUCACUAACGCAACAUCUGUCUGUGCAGGUCCUGCCAAAGUUUGCAGUAAACCUACAGAGACGACUUCAUUGGAGUAUGACUCCUCUCUGGGAGACACACAUGGACUGAAUACAGAGCCCUCACCAAGAGAUACUGAAUCCAACAUUGAGCAUAUGAGAGCUGCUCUUCCAGAGGGCACUUAUAACGGUAGAGACAGCCAUGAAAGACAUAAAAACAGUAAUAUUACUAAUGGGACAGGAUCCACAGAAAACAAACGCUUCAAGUGUGAUGUUUGUGAGAAGACAUUCAGCAAGAAAGAGUUGCUGAGAGUUCACAAGCUAAUCCACACAAAACCUUUCAAGUGUGACAUUUGUGAGAAGACCUUCAGCAGGAAAGGGUUACUGGAAGGUCAUAAGCUAAUUCACACAAGACCCUUCACCUGUGACGUUUGUGACAAGACCUUCAGCCUGAACCGCAUGCUGUUACGUCACAAGCUAAUUCACACAGGAGAAAGGCCAUUUGCUUGUGGUCAAUGUGGCAAAACAUUCAGAAUGUCCAAGCAGCUCGAACGUCACAUGUUGCAUCACAAAGAAAACAAUUUCAGUUGCAAAGUCUGUAGAAAUACAUUCUCUACCAAGACAGAUCUGACACAACAUCGGCUAGUUCAUGCAGUGGAGAGACCGUUCAAGUGCCUGACUUGUGGAAAGGGUUUCACAAAAAGGACCAUACUUAUAGGGCACGAGAGAAUCCACACCGGUGAAAAACCAUACAGCUGUGCUGAAUGUGGGAAGAGUUACAGACAGUCUUAUGACCUAAGAAUUCAUAUGCGAAGACAUACAGGUGCAGACAUACGUCCACACUUAUGCUCAGAGUGUGGUAAGAGCUUUAGGACAAAAUCCGUCCUCGAAAAGCACAAGCGAAUUCAUACAGGGGAGAAGCCAUUUAAAUGUGAGACCUGUGGAGCUGCUUUUGGCCAUAAAGGAAACCUUGUGAGACACCAAGUGCUUCACACAGGGGAGAGACCAUACAAAUGUAAAGUGUGUGGGAAAAGCUACCCUCAGUCCACCGACUUAAAAGCUCACAUGCACCGUCAUGGGGCAACCAAACCUUUUAUGUGUGACCUAUGUGGAAAGACUUUUAUUUACAAUUACCAAAUGAGACAACAUAAUCUACAAUGGCACAUGGCUGAAGGAGAUAAGGUUCCUGGGAGAGAAGGAACAUCAACGAAGCCAUUCAGUUGCAAAAUAUGUUUGAACGGCUUCAGCUCCAUGCUAACUCUGAAAAAGCAUAAAGAAAUUCACACAGGACAAAAACAAUAUUCUUGUUCCAUUUGUGGAAAGACCAUUGCAUAUAAAAAUGCUUUUGACUAUCACAUGAGAGUUCACAGUGGAGUGAAGCCCCAUGAAUGUAAAUACUGUGGAAGGAAAUUUAUUCUGAAGCAAGCUCUUCAAGGACAUGAGCGGACCCAUACAGGUGAAAAACCCUUCAAAUGCAGUUAUUGUGACAAGACUUUUGCAGUCAACACCAAUCUGAAAAGGCAUGAGCGAAUCCACACAGGAGAGAAGCCAUUCAAAUGUGAUGUUUGCGGGAGAGGUUUCAGUCAAGCCAACAAUGUUAAAGCCCACAUGCAAGUCCACACUGGAGUUAGGCCUUACUAUUGCAAGAGAUGUGGAAAAGGCUUUUCUGACAUAAGACACUACAAAAACCAUAGAUGUGAUGGUGUGACUGUUACACGCACACACUGUGAUGGUGAUAAUUAUCGUAAAUCUUCUGACGGCACUUUCAGAAGUAGAAAAGGAGGUAGACAGGAGUGCUUGCCAUAAUGCUGCUGUUGUGUAGACUCCGUGAUAUUAUCUCAAUAUUAUCUACAGUCUGUAGACUACAGUGGUGCAACUUCCUGCUUACAGAUGUCAUGAACAAUGGGGAUUUAUUCAGUAGUGUGAAAUGUCCUCGGGUGAGUGUCUGGAAAGCCUUGUAUGAAAUGAGAGCGUGCUUUAGGAAAUUAGAUAUGUGCUUGCUGUAGUGCUUGGAGAUCUUGCUAUAAAUCAAAGGGUUAAUGUUCAUGAGCCCAAAUACUCAUUUGUUCAUAUUGUGUAAAUCAAUAAACACAUCAUUCAUGUGAA